UUAUCUUGAUCAAAGUUUUACUAAAUUGAAAUACACUGAUGUAUAUCUCCUAUUUAUUCAGAGGGUCAACUCCACCUUGACUCACACACCGACUUGAUAAGUACUUGACUGCACCCAAUAAUCUUCCAUCACUGAAUUAAAAUUUCAGAUAGUCCAGCACUAAAGUACAGUGAGUUGCUUACAAAUCACUAUGGUGAUCUC
rnacentral:lncRNA from 1 species